GACGUAGGGUCCAAGCGUUGUCCGGAAUCAUUGGGCGUAAAGCGCGCGUAGGUGGCCUCAUAAGUCCGCUGUGAAAGUCAAAGGCUCAACCUUUGAAAGCCGGUGGAUACUGUGAGGCUAGAGUACGGAAGAGGCGAGUGGAAUUCCUGGUGUAGCGGUGGAAUGCGCAGAUAUCAGGAGGAACACCAAUAGCGAAGGCAGCUCGCUGGGACGUUACUGACACUGAGGCGCGAAAGCGUGGGGAGCGAACAGG
rnacentral:rRNA from 1 species